UGUUUUGAAGUGCUGUAUUGCUUUCAUUGUUUUGUUUUGAUUGAUUUUAUUCUAUUUUGUGUUGUUUGAUUGUAUUAUGUGUGAUUGUAUAGGCAGCUACUUUGAAGAUAACAAGAGACAUUCUGGCAGCCACUGUGGUUUUCUAUUAUUUAAAGUCCUGUAUUGCAUUCAUUGCUUUGUUUUGAUUGAUUGUAUUCUGUUCUAUUUUGUUUGCUGUUAUGACGGUAUGGGCAGUUAUUUUGAAGAUAACAAGAGGCAUUAUGGUAGCCAUUAUUGAUUUCCUUUUAUCUUGUUUUGAAGUCCUGUACCACGUUCCUUGUUUUGUUUUGAUUGACUCUAUUCUGUUUUAUUUCAUUUGGUUUUAUUCUCUUCAAAGAAAGAAAGAAAGAAAGAAUAAAAGAAAAGAAGAAAGAAAGAAAGAAAGGAAUGAAAUAGUGCAGUGGACCACAGAACAGUUACACCAAGAGGAACACAGACGAGAUGACUGAGCCAGAGAAGGGACGGCUGUGAUGCAACAGUAUGGCAGAAAUGAAUUUGAGUUUUUAACUUGAUUGGAAUUACAGUGUUUGGAAUUGAGCAUCCCAUGCUGGAAGAAUACAUAUUUGGGGGCUCCAGGACCUCAGUAGAAAAGUACAGAGCAAGCAUUGAAAUCUUCUAGUAAAAACUCAUGCAGGACAACAAAAUAAUGACAGAUACCCAAAUACCAGAUUAAUCCACCGAGGAGGCUUUUGUUUAGGAAUUUGUUUCAAGAGGAGCAAGGGAUGAGGGACAAAAAUCCCUUUUUAUCCAUUAGUCAGUGAUAUAAAUUUAUCACUUAGAGUGAGAGAAAAAUGUGGGGAUUGUUAGUAUACAGAGAGCAUUAAGCCAGGUUUGCUUAGAAAAGCCUCAUACUAGCCUGAGGAUAGAGGUAGCAUUGAAUCCAUUGUAAUUAUCAUUGAAAAUCAAAUGUAUCAGUCAGUAUGUACCAAAAAAUGAGCAAAGGACAACAGGUAGAUCAGAGUAUUUUGUUGACUUUGAUGGGUUUACAACCUCUGUCUCUAAUUGGUUUUGUUCCUUGCCCCUGAAUAGAAAUGAGGGUUCUUAGUCUGUUUCUGACAGUCUGUGAGUUUGUUAGGAUAGUUGUCUUUUGUUUGCUUGUUAGUAGGCAUAGUAAAUUGAGCAGAAGAGCACAGUAUGCUACAACUUGAUACAUACUUUUUAAGCUGUUUUGCAUUUUUCUCUUACUGUGGUUCGAUUUCUUCAUGUAGAUGUAAAUAAAAAACAAAAUUUGUAAAAUGUAACAUUCGACAUGGAAAUGCUGCCAGUCUUCACCAGUUUCAGGAAUCUGACCUUUGCCGGUGCUGUAAUAAAGUGCUGCAAUUGAAAACAAUGCAACAAUAAAACCUCCAAAUGAGUCCUGAAACCAGGGACAGCAGAUUCAGUGUGGAGCAGGAAAACCCGCAGUCAGUGUUUAUCCCAAGAGGGACAAUCCCAGCUGUCCUGGGGUGCAGAGGUCACCUGGAGAAUAACUGGGGACACACUAAGAGGCAAACUCAACAGACAGCGUGGAAUGUGGCUUGCUAGCUUGCCUGCCUCAGACGGGAAGGACUCUGGGGAUGUGGAGCUGUUUGUUGAAGGGAAGGCAGGGAGGGGCCGGAAGGAAUAAGUGGACAGGUUACAUCAAGAUGCCCGGCCUCUGGGCCUCAUGCCAGGUCUGACAAGGGGCCUGGCAACCAGCAUUGCCGAACAAGGUGCUUCUGAGGAGCAUGGCACCUCCAGUGCACAGUCCCCCAUGCUCGGAGAUGUGGGGCUCAUGCCCAGCUGCCGAAGGGCCUGAGGAUCCAGAGAGUGAAAAGGAGGUGCAUGCUGGGACAGAAACAGAAAGCCGGAAGGGAAACAGGGAGAACUGUGGGAAACCAGGAGAAUUCUUUAAUUCUUAUGGGAGCUUUAAUUCCCAGCUUCCAGAAUGUCCCCUUCUAGGAUUUAACAUAUAAAAAGUGCUGGGGAUCCAACCCAGGGUGAUGUUAAGAAUGCUAAGCAUCACCAAGAAUUGCUGAGGGUCUUUGGAUGCCUUAAAAGCGAACGGGAACUAAAGCUUCACGCACCGGCCGUUGUGUACACACACACACACACACACCAUGCCAGCAGAUGAUGGAGGGAACACUGCACCCCGAGACCUGGGUUGUCAGCUCAGCUCCAUCACUUUUUACACCAUGUGACCUUGGCUACCUUGCUUCACUUCUCUGAGCCGCAGACAGUGGGUAAAAUAAAAGCUGUUCUUUAAAGUUGUAGCACAUGGUUCUGGGAAUGUUUGGCUUUCACAAACCAUUAGUUGAACUUAAUUAAAGAACAUUUUUCUUUAAAAAGCUGAUUUUGCAAUUUUACAAUUUUGACCAGAAGAGCUCAGGAUUGUGACCCAGUCAGCCAGCUGGUUAAGGCUUGGG